GUGUGUGGACAGGGCCAAAGGACAAGAUGCUUCAAUCCGGCGAGGACAGAGCCAAAUGACCAAAGUUUGUUCAUCUGUUGCCAAGUUUGGUACCAUCCCGUGGGGAGGGCCAGGGACAAGCUGCUCCGAUCCGGCGAGGAUGCCCACCAUCUAUUGUUAAGGGCGUCCGUGGAAGGCCCAGUCCUGACUCUCCAGUGAGCCGACAUUUGAUCGCUAUUGAA